rnacentral:lncRNA from 1 species
CCAUCUCCUUCCUAUAUCAAAAUUUAUCAUGAUAUAUGAAGUGAAUAUUGCAUUUAACAAAUGAAAUUGUUCUAAAAGUAAUAAAUUUAGACUUUUUAUAAUCUAAACAAAAUAAAAGGAUCAACAACCAUCAUGUAAAAAUAAAAAAUAAAAGUUGUUGUGAAAAAUUCUAUAUAUUUUUCUAGUCUUUUGGUUUGUUUGUUUGUGUCCUAGUCUUUUAGAGUGUAUCUCUUUGUUCAAGAUAUUUUUGGGCUAGUGCAGAUUUUUUGGUUUGUUGCUUGAUUCUAAGGGACGUUAUUCACUGUAUUUCCUAUACAAAAGUGAGUCAAAUUAAAGCUUAUCCUUUCUAUUCAGCAUAUUACCUCAUUAAAUUAUUUCUCUGCUUGUUAUUAAUAUGGUACACAUCCACAAUACUAUUUGUUCUAGCUUGUAUUGCUAUAGCAUUUACUAAUAGCAUCUGAGACUUUGUUCAACUAAUCAUACCAUGGUUUAAUGGUCACUAUUUAUGAUCAUUGGAGUAAGCUUAUGGAAAAAAAAUUUAGGUUAAAGGAGUACUGGCAGUGGCGGAACUUGAAAUAGCAGAACUUUCACAAGAAGUUGAGUUAGAUGCAAUAAGAACUAAGCAAUUAGAAGAAUUUCGGUUGAAAGAACAUAAGGUAGAAAAUUACCUCUUCCAGGCUACUGAUCGUUUAAUUCUGGAAAUUGUUCUCUGCAAGAAGACUUCUAAACAUAUUUGAAACUCCAUGAAAAGGAAGUACUAAGCCUCAGCAGGCAAAGAAGGCACAAUUACAAGCCUUUUCUUCAGACUUUGAGACACUUCGGAUGAAAUCGGGUGAAUCAAUUUCUAAUUAUCUUUGAAGAACUAUGGCUAUUACAAAUAAAUAACAUGUCUACGGAGAGCAAAUUGAUGAUUUAGCCAUAGUUGGAAAAGUUCUUAUGGAGUGUUUACUAAACAGCAACGGGAAUCAGA